rnacentral:rRNA from 1 species
UACGGGGGGGGCAGGCGUUGUUCGGAAUCAUUGGGCGUAAAGGGCGCGUAGGCGGUGCGGUAAGUCUUCUGUGAAACCUCUGGGCUCAACCCAGAGCCUGCAGGAGAGACUGCCGUGCUGGAGUAUGGGAGAGGUGCGUGGAAUUCCCGGUGGAGCGGUGAAAUGCGUAGAGAUCGGGAGGAACAACUGGGGCGAAGGGGGCGCACUGGACCAUUACUGACGCUGAGAGCGCGAAAGCUAGGGGAGCAAACAGG